rnacentral:rRNA from 1 species
GGUUAAAAAGCUCGUAGUUGGAUCUCGGCGGGCAGGGGGUGGUUCGCUCUUCAGCGCUACUGCCCCGCUUUGCCCGUGUGAUUGGCGGAGGUUUCGGGGUGCUCUUCGUUGAGUGACUCGGAGCGCCGUCAGGUUUACUUUGAAAAAAUUAGAGUGCUCAAAGCAGGCUUUUCACGCUUGAAUAUUCGUGCAUGGAAUAAUGGAAUAGGAACUCGUUUCUAUUUUGUUGGUUUUCGGAAAUCGAGUUAAUGGUUAACAGGGACAAUUGGGGGCAUUAGUAUUCAGACGACAGAGGUGAAAUUCUUGGACCGUCUGAAGACUGACUACUGCGAAAGCAUUUGCCAAGAGUGUUUUCAUUAAUCAAGAACGAAAGUUAGAGGUUCGAAGGCGAUCAGAUACCGCCCUAGUUCUAACCAUAAACGAUGCCAGCUAGCGAUCUGCCGAGUUUUUUUUGUAGGCUCCGCAGGAAGCUUUCGGGAAACCAAAGCUUUUGGGUUCCGGGGGAAGUAUGGUUGCAA